rnacentral:misc_RNA from 1 species
GAAAUGCGAUACGUAGUGUGAAUUGCAGAAUUCAGUGAAUCAUCGAAUCUUUGAACGCACAUUGCGCCCUUUGGUAUUCCAAAGGGCAUGCCUGUUCGAGCGUCAUUUGUACCCUCAAGCUUUGCUUGGUGUUGGGCGUUUUUUGUCUUUGGUUGCCAAAGACUCGCCUUAAAAGGAUUGGCAGCCGGCCUACUGGUUUCGCAGCGCAGCACAUUUUUGCGCUUGCAAUCAGCAAAAGAGGACGGCAAUCCAUCAAGACUCCUUCUCACGUUUGACCUCUGAUCAGGUAGGGAUACCCGCUGAACUUAAGC